GGGGGACAGGGCUGAGCCUGCAGGCCAGCUGACCCCCCGACCUGGUCAUUGCUUCUGCUGAGCCCACCUCCAGGACUGCUCGCUUGGACCCAAGGUCACUGGCUCUGGCUUCGGGAAGACGGUGGAAGGUGGGGGGGAUGGAACUGCAGAAGCCCUGGGUCAGUGGGCUCCAGCGGGGCGAGGAGGUCACUUCUCAGGGCCCCGAGUUCUGAGCUGGCUGCACUGCAGGCAAAGGAAGCCUGGAAUCGGGGCUGUGGCCCUGGACAUCUGAAGAGAAGGUGCCACCCGCGGGGAGGCCCAAGUACCGAUCUAGCGGUGGGAAGGACACCCUCCCACGAAAGGGUGGACGGUGUGUGGCCGUCAAAGGGUCGAGCCAGGCCUGCAGGCUCAGGGAGCCAUCUUGCCCGAGUAGGACAGGACCCAGCCCCACGGACCUCAAGAGCAUCUGAGGGAGAAAAGGGGGACGAGUGAGGCCUGGAGGCCGGGCUGCCAGGGAGGUCACAGGCCACUUCUGUGGACCUCUGGUCUGGCAGAGGUUAGGGGCAGAGGGAGG